UACGUAGGGUGCGAGCGUUAAUCGGAAUUACUGGGCGUAAAGCGUGCGCAGGCGGCGCGUUAAGACAGGUGUGAAAGCCCCGAGCUUAACUUGGGAAUUGCGCUUGUGACUGGCGUGCUGGAGUGUGGCAGAGGGAGGUGGAAUUCCACGUGUAGCAGUGAAAUGCGUAGAGAUGUGGAGGAACACCGAUGGCGAAGGCAGCCCCCCUGGGCCAAUACUGACGCUCAUGCACGAAAGCGUGGGGAGCGAACAGG
rnacentral:rRNA from 1 species